GACGAACGCUGGCGGCGUGCCUAAUACAUGCAAGUAGAACGCUGAAGGAGGAGCUUGCUCUUCUGGAUGAGUUGCGAACGGGUGAGUAACGCGUAGGUAACCUGCCUGGUAGCGGGGGAUAACUAUUGGAAACGAUAGCUAAUACCGCAUAACAGUAGAUGUUGCAUGACAUUUGCUUAAAAGGUGCAAUUGCAUCACUACCAGAUGGACCUGCGUUGUAUUAGCUAGUUGGUGGGGUAACGGCUCACCAAGGCGACGAUACAUAGCCGACCUGAGAGGGUGAUCGGCCACACUGGGACUGAGACACGGCCCAGACUCCUACGGGAGGCAGCAGUAGGGAAUCUUCGGCAAUGGACGGAAGUCUGACCGAGCAACGCCGCGUGAGUGAAGAAGGUUUUCGGAUCGUAAAGCUCUGUUGUAAGAGAAGAACGAGUGUGAGAGUGGAAAGUUCACACUGUGACGGUAGCUUACCAGAAAGGGACGGCUAACUACGUG
rnacentral:rRNA from 1 species